rnacentral:rRNA from 1 species
GAUGAACGCUGGCGGCGUGCCUAAUACAUGCAAGUCGAGCGAAUGGAUUAAGAGCUUGCUCUUAUGAAGUUAGCGGCGGACGGGUGAGUAACACGUGGGUAACCUGCCCAUAAGACUGGGAUAACUCCGGGAAACCGGGGCUAAUACCGGAUAACAUUUUGAACCGCAUGGUCCGAAAUUGAAAGGCGGCUUCGGCUGUCACUUAUGGAUGGACCCGCGUCGCAUUAGCUAGUUGGUGAGGUAACGGCUCACCAAGGCAACGAUGCGUAGCCGACCUGGAAGGGUGGUCGGCCACACUGGGACUGAGACACGGCCGAGAGUCCUACGGGAGGCAGCAGUAGGGAAUCUUCCGCAAUGGACGAAAGUCGGACGGAGCAACGCCGCGUGAGUGAUGAAGGCUUUCGGGUCGUAAAACUCUGUUGUUAGGGAAGAACAAGUGCUAGUUGAAUAAGCUGGCACCUUGACGGUACCUAACCAGAAAGCCACGGCUAACUACGUGCCAGCAGCCGCAGUAA